AUGUGAAGUUCCGAAUAAGAUCCAGGCCGCAACCCAAAACGGGCUAGCUGCGUAACAAUCUGCUGAGCUCGGCGACACAAACUUCCAUUAAUGGAGGUCAACCGUCGAACUUCGUGAUUCAUCAAUUCGUCAAUUCCCUUCAAGGAAAUAGCUGAAGAAGACGCGUAAUCAUGAGUUACAGAAGGGAGACUCGUGCUUCUAAAAUUGGCCUUUUUGAUGGAUACAAUAGCCUUGAAGAGGGUGGUUUAAGGGCAUCCACAUCAUACUCAAGUGAUAUUAGUGAACAUGAAAAUGACAAAGCUCUUGAUACCCUCAAAGAUCGGGUCUUCUUUCUCAAGCAGUUGUCUGGUGAUAUACAAGAUGAGGUUCUUAACCAUAACCGUGUCCUGGAUCGGAUGGGGAAUGAAAUGGAUGCAUCAAGAGGUAUCUUGUCAGGAACACGUGACCGCUUCAAAAUGGUGUUUGAAAGGAAGUCAGGACGUGCAAUGUGCAAACUAGUUGGUUUCCUUGUGGCAUUCUUUUUAUUGUUAUACUACAUCAUCAGUUAAUUUAUUGCAGAACCUUACUGUAUCAAAGUGAGGAAACUGCUAAAUGGUUGGCUAUAGAAGCAGAAGAAGGGUCCUUAGACAUUCCAUGUGAGUAUGAAGUGGAGACAUUGUAAGCCUGUAAGUAUCUGAGAUGCAUGAGUGAGAUUUUGCAUGAUAUGACAGACUACAACAGGAGCUGCUGGAUGCAUGCUUGCAUAAAUGAGACAAUUGGGGUUGCUGUAUCGCCUGUAAGGCUCUACUCAGAUGAAAAGUAUGAAGUGAACAUGCGCCAUUUUAUUUAGCAUAGGCUUUUGACAAUUCAUUCAAGCAUAUACAAAUUUUUUACGGAGUACUUUUUUGCAAAUAGGAAAAUGACACUUUGUAAGUUUGUAUCGUGGAUUUAUUAUCAAUCAUAGUCGAAGUGAUGAAUUGAUGA